rnacentral:rRNA from 1 species
UGAGGAAUAUUGCACAAUGGGCGCAAGCCUGAUGCAGCGACGCCGCGUGUGGGAUGAAGGGGCUACGCCUCGUAAACCACUGUAGCCCGGGACGAAAAACGCCUUAGAGGUGUUAGACGGUACCGGGAAAGUAAGGGUCGGCUAACUACGUGCCAGCAGCCGCGGUAAUACGUAGGACCCAAGCGUUGUCCGGAUUUACUGGGUGUAAAGGGUGCGCAGGCGGAUGGGUAAGUCAGGGGUGAAAGUCUGCAGCUUAACUGUAGAAUUGCCUUUGNCACUGCUCAUCUUGAGUGUGGGAGAGGUUGAUGGAAUUCCAGGUGUAGCAGUGAAAUGCGUAGAUAUCUGGAAGAACACCAGUGGCGAAGGCGGUCAACUGGCCCAUAACUGACGCUCAUGCACGAAAGCGUGGGGAGCAAACA